rnacentral:rRNA from 1 species
GUGGAGCAUGUGGCUUAAUUUGACUCAACGCGGGAAAUCUUACCGGGUCCGGACACACUGAGGAUUGACAGGCAAUAUUAGCACUUAGCUUCUUGCGACGUGUUAUGUUAAAUAUGCUAGUCCUUUCAUGAUUAUGUGAUAGGUGGUGCAUGGCCGUUCUUAGUUCGUGGAGUGAUCUGUCUGCUUAAUUGCGUUUCACCAAGGGCCUAUAAUUUUACGUGUGUUGCGGCACUUUGACCCCUCUUUUUUUAAGGAGCGCGUGUCUUGGUUUGCUUAGCUCGCACAAUUAGGUCCUGAAAGCAACGAACGUGACCGCAACCUCUUGUUGCCUUUAUACCAAACGUGCAUAUGUAAUUUUUUUAAAUUGCUUUGCGCGCAAAAAGGCUUUUUAAACUAGAGGGACCGCUGUUACUUUCUUAAACCAGAGGAAGGUUGCGGCAAUAACAGGUCUG